AAUGGGUCAGCGACUUAUAUUCUGUAGCAAGGUUAACCGAAUAGGGGAGCCGAAGGGAAACCGAGUCUUAACUGGGCGUUAAGUUGCAGGGUAUAGACCCGAAACCCGGUGAUCUAGCCAUGGGCAGGUUGAAGGUUGGGUAACACUAACUGGAGGACCGAACCGACUAAUGUUGAAAAAUUAGCGGAUGACUUGUGGCUGGGGGUGAAAGGCCAAUCAAACCGGGAGAUAGCUGGUUCUCCCCGAAAGCUAUUUAGGUAGCGCCUCGUGAAUUCAUCUCCGGGGGUAGAGCACUGUUUCGGCAAGGGGGUCAUCCCGACUUACCAACCCGAUGCAAACUGCGAAUACCGGAGAAUGUUAUCACGGGAGACACACGGCGGGUGCUAACGUCCGUCGUGAAGAGGGAAACAACCCAGACCGCCAGCUAAGGUCCCAAAGUCAUGGUUAAGUGGGAAACGAUGUGGGAAGGCCCAGACAGCCAGGAUGUUGGCUUAGAAGCAGCCAUCAUUUAAAGAAAGCGUAAUAGCUCACUGGUCGAGUCGGCCUGCGCGGAAGAUGUAACGGGGCUAAACCAUGCACCGAAGCUGCGGCAGCGACACUAUGUGUUGUUGGGUAGGGGAGCGUUCUGUAAGCCUGUGAAGGUGUGCUGUGAGGCAUGCUGGAGGUAUCAGAAGUGCGAAUGCUGACAUAAGUAACGAUAAAGCGGGUGAAAAGCCCGCUCGCCGGAAGACCAAGGGUUCCUGUCCAACGUUAAUCGGGGCAGGGUGAGUCGACCCCUAAGGCGAGGCCGAAAGGCGUAGUCGAUGGGAAACAGGUUAAUAUUCCUGUACUUGGUGUUACUGCGAAGGGGGGACGGAGAAGGCUAUGUUGGCCGGGCGACGGUUGUCCCGGUUUAAGCGUGUAGGCUGAUUUUCCAGGCAAAUCCGGAAAAUCAAGGCUGAGGCGUGAUGACGAGGCACUACGGUGCUGAAGCAACAAAUGCCCUGCUUCCAGGAAAAGCCUCUAAGCAUCAGGUAACAUCAAAUCGUACCCCAAACCGACACAGGUGGUCAGGUAGAGAAUACCAAGGCGCUUGAGAGAACUCGGGUGAAGGAACUAGGCAAAAUGGUGCCGUAACUUCGGGAGAAGGCACGCUGAUAUGUAGGUGAAGCGACUUGCUCGUGGAGCUGAAAUCAGUCGAAGAUACCAGCUGGCUGCAACUGUUUAUUAAAAACACAGCACUGUGCAAACACGAAAGUGGACGUAUACGGUGUGACGCCUGCCCGGUGCCGGAAGGUUAAUUGAUGGGGUUAGCGGUAACGCGAAGCUCUUGAUCGAAGCCCCGGUAAACGGCGGCCGUAACUAUAACGGUCCUAAGGUAGCGAAAUUCCUUGUCGGGUAAGUUCCGACCUGCACGAAUGGCGUAAUGAUGGCCAGGCUGUCUCCACCCGAGACUCAGUGAAAUUGAACUCGCUGUGAAGAUGCAGUGUACCCGCGGCAAGACGGAAAGACCCCGUGAACCUUUACUAUAGCUUGACACUGAACAUUGAGCCUUGAUGUGUAGGAUAGGUGGGAGGCUUUGAAGUGUGGACGCCAGUCUGCAUGGAGCCGACCUUGAAAUACCACCCUUUAAUGUUUGAUGUUCUAACGUUGGCCCGUUAUCCGGGUUGCGGACAGUGUCUGGUGGGUAGUUUGACUGGGGCGGUCUCCUCCUAAAGAGUAACGGAGGAGCACGAAGGUUGGCUAAUCCUGGUCGGACAUCAGGAGGUUAGUGCAAUGGCAUAAGCCAGCUUGACUGCGAGCGUGACGGCGCGAGCAGGUGCGAAAGCAGGUCAUAGUGAUCCGGUGGUUCUGAAUGGAAGGGCCAUCGCUCAACGGAUAAAAGGUACUCCGGGGAUAACAGGCUGAUACCGCCCAAGAGUUCAUAUCGACGGCGGUGUUUGGCACCUCGAUGUCGGCUCAUCACAUCCUGGGGCUGAAGUAGGUCCCAAGGGUAUGGCUGUUCGCCAUUUAAAGUGGUACGCGAGCUGGGUUUAGAACGUCGUGAGACAGUUCGGUCCCUAUCUGCCGUGGGCGCUGGAGAACUGAGGGGGGCUGCUCCUAGUACGAGAGGACCGGAGUGGACGCAUCACUGGUGUUCGGGUUGUCAUGCCAAUGGCACUGCCCGGUAGCUAAAUGCGGAAGAGAUAAGUGCUGAAAGCAUCUAAGCACGAAACUUGCCCCG
rnacentral:rRNA from 1 species